rnacentral:rRNA from 1 species
GAUGAACGCUGGCGGCGUGCCUAAUACAUGCAAGUCGAGCGAACGGACGAGAAGCUUGCUUCUCUGAUGUUAGCGGCGGACGGGUGAGUAACACGUGGAUAACCUACCUAUAAGACUGGGAUAACUUCGGGAAACCGGAGCUAAUACCGGAUAAUAUUUUGAACCGCAUGGUUCAAAAGUAAAAGACGGUCUUGCUGUCACUUAUAGAUGGAUCCGCGCUGCAUUAGCUAGUUGGUAAGGUAACGGCUUACCAAGGCAACGAUGCAUAGCCGACCUGAGAGGGUGAUCGGCCACACUGGAACUGAGACACGGUCCAGACUCCUACGGGAGGCAGCAGUAGGGAAUCUUCCGCAAUGGGCGAAAGCCUGACGGAGCAACGCCGCGUGAGUGAUGAAGGUCUUCGGAUCGUAAAACUCUGUUAUUAGGGAAGAAUAUAUGUGUAAGUAACUGUGCACAUCUUGACGGUACCUAAUCAGAAAGCCACGGCUAACUACGUGCCAGCAGCCGCGGUAAUACGUAGGUGGCAAGCGUUAUCCGGAAUUAUUGGGCGUAAAGCGCGCGUGGCGGUUUUUUAAGUCUGAUGUGAAAGCCCACGGCUCAACCGUGGAGGGUCAUUGGAAACUGGAAAACUUGAGUGCAGAAGAGGAAAGUGGAAUUCCAUGUGUAGCGGUGAAAUGCGCAGAGAUAUGGAGGAACACCAGUGGCGAAGGCGACUUUCUGGUCUGUAACUGACGCUGAUGUGCGAAAGCGUGGGGAUCAAACAGGAUUAGAUACCCUGGUAGUCCACGCCGUAAACGAUGAGUGCUAAGUGUUAGGGGGUUUCCGCCCCUUAGUGCUGCAGCUAACGCAUUAAGCACUCCGCCUGGGGAGUACGACCGCAAGGUUGAAACUCAAAGGAAUUGACGGGGACCCGCACAAGCGGUGGAGCAUGUGGUUUAAUUCGAAGCAACGCGAAGAACCUUACCAAAUCUUGACAUCCUUUGACAACUCUAGAGAUAGAGCCUUCCCCUUCGGGGGACAAAGUGACAGGUGGUGCAUGGUUGUCGUCAGCUCGUGUCGUGAGAUGUUGGGUUAAGUCCCGCAACGAGCGCAACCCUUAAGCUUAGUUGCCAUCAUUAAGUUGGGCACUCUAAGUUGACUGCCGGUGACAAACCGGAGGAAGGUGGGGAUGACGUCAAAUCAUCAUGCCCCUUAUGAUUUGGGCUACACACGUGCUACAAUGGACAAUACAAAGGGCAGCGAAACCGCGAGGUCAAGCAAAUCCCAUAAAGUUGUUCUCAGUUCGGAUUGUAGUCUGCAACUCGACUACAUGAAGCUGGAAUCGCUAGUAAUCGUAGAUCAGCAUGCUACGGUGAAUACGUUCCCGGGUCU